rnacentral:rRNA from 1 species
GACGAACGCUGGCGGCGUGCUUAACACAUGCAAGUCGAACGAAGUGGCGAACGGGUGAGUAACGCGUAAUCAACCUGCCCUUCAGAGGGGGACAACAGUUGGAAACGACUGCUAAUACCGCAUACUGCAGGAGGGGAUUGCGUCUGACUAGCUCGUUGGAGGGGUAACGGCCCACCAAGGGUAUGACCAGUAGCCGGUCUAAGAGGAUGAACGGCCACAAUGGGACUUGAACACUGCCCCGGAUCCUACGGGGGGCGACCGUGGGGAAUCUUCCGUAAUGGAGGGAAGUCAGACUGGGCAACGCAGCGGGAGUGAUGACGGCCUUCGGGUUGUAAAGCUCUGUUAAUCGGGACGCGGUACCGGAAUAGAAAGCAACGGCUAACUACGUGCCAGCAGCCGCGGUAAUAC